rnacentral:misc_RNA from 1 species
AAGUCGUUCUAGGUGAACCUGCGGAAGGAUCAUUAACACGUAUCCAAACGUUAAACCCCCUGUGAACCUUGAACAUGCUCUUGCUCAACAUAGAUGGAACAGCAAUCCUGGUAAGGAGGAAUGUUGAUUGAUUAGGACCUCUGUUCUACUGUUGUUCAAUCGAGCGCUGGACGCAAACGCUUUCCUGCAGGGGAUUGGGACCCCCAAGCGAUUCACGUGUUGCAAGCAGACACCUGCAUGUGACUCCCUUCCACCGCAAGUGCACCGGUCGUGGAGCGCGUAUCUAAAAACCGAGCAACUGUUAACAAUGGAUAGCUCGGUUCUC